rnacentral:rRNA from 1 species
CAGGCGCGAAAACUUUACAAUGCGGGAAACCGUGAUAAGGGAAUCUCGAGUGCCAGCAUAUAAUGUUGGCUGUCCAGAUGCCUAAAAAGCAUCUGUUAGCAAGGGCCGGGCAAGACCGGUGCCAGCCGCCGCGGUAACACCGGCGGCCCGAGUGGUAACCGCUUUUAUUGGGUCUAAAGGGUCUGUAGCCGGCCAAGUAAGUCCCUUGGGAAAUCUGGCAGCUUAACUGUCAGGCUGCUAGGGGAUACUGCUAGGCUUGGGACCGGGAGAGGUGAGAGGUACCUUGGGGGUAGGGGUGAAAUCUUGUGAUCCUCGGGGGACCACCAGUGGCGAAGGCGUCUCACCAGAACGGGUCCGACGGUAAGGGACGAAAGCUAGGGGCACGAACCG